rnacentral:rRNA from 1 species
GACGAACGCUGGCGGCGUGCUUAACACAUGCAAGUCGAACGGUGAAGGGAUCAGCUUGCUGGUUCUGGAUGAGUGGCGAACGGGUGAGUAACACGUGAGUAACCUGCCCCCUUCUUCUGGAUAACCGCAUGAAAGUGUGGCUAAUACGGGAUAUUCUGCGCCUGCUGCAUGGUGGGUGUGGGAAAGAUAUUGUUUCGGUGGGGGAUGGGCUCGCGGCCUAUCAGCUUGUUGGUGGGGUGAUGGCCUACCAAGGCGGUGACGGGUAGCCGGCCUGAGAGGGUGGACGGUCACACUGGGACUGAGACACGGCCCAGACUCCUACGGGAGGCAGCAGUGGGGAAUAUUGCACAAUGGGCGCAAGCCUGAUGCAGCGACGCCGCGUGAGGGAUGGAGGCCCUCGGGUUGUGAACCUCUUUCGCCAGUGAAGCAGGCCUGUCCCUUGUGGGUGGGUUGACGGUAGCUGGAGAAGAAGCGCCGGCUAACUACGUG